rnacentral:tRNA from 1 species
CUUUUUGUAUCUAAGUUUAAGGGCUGGGUUCUUACUCCAGUUAUGCGUUAAUCGCCAAAGAGU